UACGUAGGGAGCAAGCGUUGUUCGGAUUUACUGGGCGUAAAGGGCGCGUAGGCGGCAAUUCAAGUCAGCUGUGAAAUCUCCGGGCUUAACUCGGAACGGUCAGCUGAUACUGCUUUGCUAGAGUGCGGAAGGGGCAAUCGGAAUUCUCGGUGUAGCGGUGAAAUGCGUAGAUAUCGAGAGGAACACCUGAGGUGAAGACGGGUUGCUGGGCCGACACUGACGCUGAGGCGCGAAAGUGUGGGGAGCGAACAGG
rnacentral:rRNA from 1 species